rnacentral:rRNA from 1 species
AAACCGAAGUAUAGGAGGUCCUACCUGCCCAGUGACUAUUUGUUUAACGGCCGCGGUAUCUUGACCGUGCUAAGGUAGCGAAAUCACUUGUCUUUUAAAUAAGGACCUGUAUGAAUGGUGGAACGAGGGCUUAACUGUCUCCUUUUUCAAGUCAGUGAAAUUGAUCUGCCCGUGCAGAAGCGGACAUAAAUAUACAAGACGAGAAGACCCUUUGGAGCUUAAGACAUACAGUCAACUGUGUUAAAAGUUCUACUCAAAAAAAUUAAACUAAACAAUAACUGACUUUGCGUCUUCGGUUGGGGCGACCGCGGGGGAAAACAAAGCCCCCACGUAGAAUGGGACAACUCCCUAAAACCAAGAGAAACAUCUCUAAGUCACAGAACCUCUGACUAAAAGAUCCGGCACACGCCGAUCAACGAACCAAGUUACCCUAGGGAUAACAGCGCAAUCCCCUCCAAGAGCCCGUAUCAACAAGGGGGUUUACGACCUCGAUGUUGGAUCAGGACAUCCUAAUGGUGCAGCCGCUAUUAAGGGUUCGUUUGUUCAACGAUUAAAGU